GCUGGGUGUGGUGGUGCACACCUGUAGUCCCAGCUACUCGGGAGGCUGAGGCAGGAGAAUCGCUUGAACCUGGGAGGCGGAGGUUGCUGCGAGCCGAGAUCGUAACACUGCACUACAGCCUGGCAACAGAGCGAGACUACGUCUAAAAAAAAAAAAAAAAAAGCAAACUGCAGUAAAAUGUAUCUGAUAGAAUUAUACCCUUCCUUAUGUAGGUUAAAGAAAGUCUCAGGCCGGGCGCGGUGGCUCAAGUCUGUAAUCCCAGCACUUUGGGAGGCCGAGACGGGNNNNNNNNNNCGCUCUGUUGCCAGGCUGUAGUGCAGUGUUACGAUCUCGGCUCGCAGCAACCUCCGCCUCCCAGGUUCAAGCGAUUCUCCUGCCUCAG
rnacentral:SRP_RNA from 1 species